rnacentral:lncRNA from 1 species
CCAUCAGCAUCCAGGACGCGCACGUGAGCAUCCUGAACGUCAAGCGAAAACUCACGAAAUGCAAGAGCUUUGUCUUCAUAUUGAUCUAAACAGUGUUGUGAUGUACACCAUCAGCAUCCAGGACGAGCACGUGGUCAUCCCGAACGUCAAGCGAGAGCAAGAAGAAUCCGCGGAAUAACGUGAAAUGCUGGACAAUGAAACAAAGUGCAUUCUCAAGGAACUGGAGAAUCCCAGAGCCUGAAAUUCGCAACAUGCUUCAUAUAGUGCUGUGAUGUACAUCAUCAGCAUCCAGGACGCGCACGUGAUCUUCCUGAACGUCAAGCGAAAUCAACAAUCCGUGGAAUAAUGGAAAACGCGGCACGGUGGUGUGCUAUAUCAAGAAGCUGGAGAACACCAGAGCCUGAAAUUCGCGGCGCGCCGUCUGUAGGGCAUGCAACUGCAGAACCAUGUCGCCGCCAUCCAGGACGGUCAUGGACUACCGAAGUUUCCAACAUCGAGCGACACCUUCCAGACACCUGGAAAUAUGCAUGCUCGCUUCACACCUUACGUGGAGCUCCUCUAUCCUUAAUACGGUCUGAUGCUUGGUACUUGAUACUGAUUCCUAUCUGUGCGAGUGCGGUGUUGGUUGGCCCGCGGCGCGUGCAUCGUGGCAUGGCGCUAUUACCUCACCUUAAGCCCCGAGAGUGUUGAGACGAUGUAAUGGCGCCGAGCGUCGUGUACUGAGUGCGGCUGGGGCGAUUGCUGUAAAUGCAUAUUAAAGAUUGCAGCCAUGCGGUGCAAGUAUAUUUCAAAAAUACAAUAAAUGUCUGCUGUAGUUC